UUGGAUGAUAGAUAGGCUUGGAGCCAGUA
rnacentral:sRNA from 1 species